GGCAGAGCCUGGCUGGCCCCGCUCGUCCCCCGCGCUCAGGGGCCGUAGCUGCCGCCCUCGGCCCCCGUUCCCCUGCUCCAUAGGGCGCCUCGUCACUCCAGCCCCGCCAGUACGGAGCGGGGCGCCCCCUUCCCUUUUCCUUUCUGGAUUUACGGGACAUGAGGGAAAGAAUAGUAGUUGAUUAAAGUUAAAUUGUGCUAGUCUGCAGUGUGUAACUUCUUGGCUUCCUUUCUGUCAUCCUGUCUUCCAGAAGGUAUUUGGAGAAGCACAGCCUUCCAGUGAUCUUCUGUUGUCCAGCGGUAUCCAAAGAUCCAUGAAAUUAGCAAGCAAAUACUUGAGUUGAAUAGCCAGACCAGAGGCAUAACCUUGCAACAGAAGGUGAUAAAAUCAUCAGAGUACUGGGUGGCACCAGCAAUGAAUGAAGAUGCCUUUGAAGAGCAGAUGUGUUUCUUCAACAUUUGGAUCAGAACUGACUCUGAAAUGUGUGUGUGUGAGCAUUUUCUGAAAUGGAUAAAGAGCCAGCCUCGGAUCAUCAGAAGGUUAUCUCAUCAAAACUGCCCAAGAAGUUAUAAAUAAAGAUAAUAGGAUAAUA